AAUAAAAAAGAAAAAAAAAAAGAAAAGCAUUUUUUUUUUUAACAUUCUGAACUUGCUGCCAUCAAGAUUUUUAGGUUGAUGCUUUAGCUGAUCUCGGUUGCAGAAUGCCAGUGAUCUUCUGUUUAAUGAUUGUAUUGACCUUGUCAAAUCUGGUAGGGGGUCAAGUUAUGCUGAUCUUUUCCAACCUCCCUUGUCCUCCCCCCUUUUUUUUUUCGUUGCUUCAUUUCUGGCGCUGUAUGAUUUGUGUCCUUAUCUGCUGAUGCAUCUCACUUAGGCGAUAUUGCUGACUUGUAUUUGAAUUGAUUUCUUGUUUAGGAGUUGGUUAUGGUAAUCUGAUUUCUGAUUUCCUUCUCUUUUCUUUGGCAGGAAGGAUUGGACUGUGCAAAGUUC
rnacentral:misc_RNA from 1 species